UACGUAGGGGGCAAGCGUUGUCCGGAAUUAUUGGGCGUAAAGCGCGUGUAGGCGGCCAGAUAAGUCCGCUGUGAAAUCUCGAGGCUCAACUUCGAGCUGUCGGUGGAAACUGUCUGGCUAGAGUCCGGAAGAGGAGAGUGGAAUUCCUGGUGUAGCGGUGAAAUGCGCAGAUAUCAGGAAGAACACCAAUGGCGAAAGCAGCUCUCUGGGACGGUACUGACGCUGAGACGCGAAAGCGUGGGGAGCGAACAGG
rnacentral:rRNA from 1 species